UACGUAGGGGGCGAGCGUUGUCCGGAUUUAUUGGGCGUAAAGGGCGCGUAGGCGGCCUGCUAAGUCGGAUGUGAAAUCCCUCGGCUCAACCGAGGAACUGCAUCCGAUACUGGCGGGCUUGAAUCCGGGAGAGGGAUGUGGAAUUCCAGGUGUAGCGGUGAAAUGCGUAGAUAUCUGGAGGAACACCGGUGGCGAAGGCGGCAUCCUGGACCGGCAUUGACGCUGAGGCGCGAAAGCUAGGGGAGCAAACGGG
rnacentral:rRNA from 1 species